CUCUGUUCAGCCUUAGGUGGACAGCUCCACCCUCAGUCCAGCCUUCUGCGACCACCCCAGCCCUGUCCUGCCACUGAGCCCUCGAGGCUCCCUGAUAUGGCCGGGGCCUGGUGGGUCUCCCAUCAGAGGAGCCACAGGAGUGGUUUCCCCAGUGACCUCUGUUCCACAAGGCAAGUCCUAGUGAUGCUUUCAGAGCCUCAACAAGGCCUCGUUCCCACCCUACAAAUGGGGAAGCUUCGUAUGCCAUCCGUCUCUUCUCUCGAGACUAAGGGACACUUCUCCUUGACCUCAAAGAAUGCGAAAUCAAAUAUUUAGCCUAGUGAAGGUUAAGGUUAAUUAUUGUUAAUCAAGAAUAGACAUUCCCACCUCACAGAGACCCGUGGAGGGAGAGGGGCCUUGGGGAGGCACUCUGCAGACAGAAAGCCCAUAGACACUCUUUUCUUGACCCUGGACUACAGUCCUUCCAGGAACAGCACCACCCCUCCUCCCAACAGUGAGAACCCUAGGUCCACUAGGGUGGACCUCUGAGAGGCACUUCCAUGGAUAAACAGCCUCCAGGUACCGGAGUCCCCAGGGUGCCUCCAGCACCCAGCAGACGGACCCAGGCAGAUCCCACCUGCUUCCUGGACCUUCUGCUUGCUUCUAGCUCAUGUAGUCAUCAAGAACCUUCUUUCAGCUUCCCACUCUCCCUGUUGGCUCUCAGGACAGACCACUAAGGACCCCUUGUCUCUCAGCCCUUCCCGUUGUCUUUGAACCAUCGGUGGGUUGUUUGGGGUUUCAUAGUUUAUUUUUGUGUGUGUGUAUGUUAAGAGUUUGAGUUUAAGGAGAGAGCCCAGGUGUGGAUGUAAAAUCCAAAUACUGGGGGUGGGGGCAACACAGAAUUCUUUGCCUGUGACUUCCAAGGGGCUGAGGAGAAACUGGGACUGGGGGACAGAGGAAAUCCCACUUGGCAAAGAAAUGGGUCAGGAUAUCCCUGGGCUGGGGCCGUGCCAGGGGAAGCAGCCAGGGGCUGCUGACAUUCUUGGUCCUUCCCUGCACCUUUGCUGGCUGGAGCAUGCAGUGCGACCCUGCUCCUCCCUCCUGUGCCGCCUCAGCCCACAGGUGUAGCAAACGAGUCAUCCUACAGACAGGGAGACAGACGGGCAGCUGUAGGUGACCCUGUAGAGGUAGCUCCUGGGACAGGCUGACGCUCCGGGAGCCUCUUCCUGUCAUGGUGCUGGAAAACGGAAUGACCCAGCCUCCCAUUCGGAAAGGAAUCUCUGCAGUAAAACUUCAUUCAGGAGAGACCUUUUUUUAAACUAUGAAUUUGUGUUCCCCAAUAAAAUCAUUUUUUAAUUAAGGGGAGUAUCCAAUUUUAUUGUAUAACGUAAAGGAUGUUUUGGUUGUCAAAGUAAUACAUACUCAUUAGAGGUCCAAUUAAAUCCUUUGAGUAGGCAGGUGACUACCCUAAAUCAAAACAAAACAAAAUCCCUAAUGAAUAAAAAGAGAUUUCUGUUUGUACUGGCUGAGACGGUGAGCUGGGUGGGGAUGGGGGAGGGUGAGUGACCUUGGUCGGGUGAACCUCACCUUCCCGCCGAUCUAUAUCCUCUUUCACUUCUCUCCAGGCUGCCCUUGGUGUUGUUGAACCCCAGGGCUUCCCCCAAACAGCAGGGAGACCCUAUCAGGGAUUGGUCGUGGAGGGAUCACGAAGACAGAUGCGCAUGGCAAAGAGGUCUGUGCAUCUCGUCCUCCACCAGUGUCUUUAUCUGGAAUCAGAACUUCUUUUGUUGGUAUCUUUGAUCUUAUAACUCAAGCACAUUUCGGAAGGGCUCCCUUAUAAGAUUAGAAUUCCAAACAGAGGAUACGGUUAAAGAGCAGUGCAAAGGACACUUAAGAAACUGAGACACCACUUUACCAAACAGGACUGUUGAACACAGUUCAGGCAGAUGACCAAGAAGGUAUGCAUGUCCUUGUGUGUUCUCCUUCCUUCUCCCUCCCCAGUGUUCCCGUCAGCUUGUUGGCUCGUUAAACCUUCCGUUCUUUAAAGAGAAAAGCUAGCUUACCUCCAAGAAUCUUGUUUCCAUUUGGAAACCAUGACUUUGUGUUUUAGGGUGAAUGACUCUCCGCACUCCCAUCACUCUCUCAAGGCUUGGCAUCCUUGAGGCCGGAGGUCCUGGCUUAGUCAUGUGUUGGCUGCACUGACCAAGAAUAAGAACCCCAGGUCCCGAGAUGGGAAGGAAGGAGAGGAGGAGGAGCAGGAAAGGAUGAAUGGGUGAUAUAAGGGACAGGCAGGGGCCUUUGAGUCUCAGAGACAGGCGGCUGAAAGUGGUAGGUUGGUCAGUUCUGUUCCCAUCACCCACUCGCAGCCUCACCCCACUUCUGUCUCCAUAAAGCUCCCACCAACCCUUUGUUAGAACAAAGCAAAACAUAUCUUUAGACAACAGUGUUAUAAUGAGCCUCAAAGAUAUGUGGAUGAGAUCUAUUAAAGGAAAGAGGGUCUUCUGGUUUGGUUUUUAAAGAAGUAUAUCCAAGUAAGAUUACAAAAAAAAGAUUUUAAAUAAAAGUUUUUAAAAAGGAAACCUAUGCUAUUUAAAUUGGAGCCCAGUUGUAACUUGGUAAAGGCAAGCUUCUGUACCUUUGUUAUAAUUAAUUGUAUACCUGUGUAUGUAAAUAUAAGGCAUUCCUAUUUUGCAGUUCA
ensembl:lncRNA